rnacentral:rRNA from 1 species
GAGUGGUGAUCGUGAUUAUUGGGUCUAAAGGGUCCGUAGCCGGUUUGGUCAGUCCUCCGGGAAAUCUGAUAGCUCAACUAUUAGGCUUUCGGGGGAUACUGCCAGACUUGGAACCGGGAGAGGUAAGAGGUACUACAGGGGUAGGAGUGAAAUCUUGUAAUCCCUGUGGGACCACCUGUGGCGAAGGCGUCUUACCAGAACGGGUUCGACGGUGAGGGACGAAAGCUGGGGGCACGAACCGGAUUAGAUACCCGGGUAGUCCCAGCCGUAAACGAUGCUCGCUAGGUGUCAGGCAUGGCGCGACCGUGUCUGGUGCCGCAGGGAAGCCGUGAAGCGAGCCACCUGGGAAGUACGGCCGCAAGGCUGAAACUUAAAGGAAUUGGCGGGGGAGCACAACAACGGGUGGAAGCCUGCGGUUUAAUUGGACUCAACGCCGGACAACUCACCGGGGGCGACAGCAAUAUGUAGGCCAAGCUGAAGACUUUGCCUGAAUCGCUGAGGAGUGGUGCAUGG